AUUGAACGCUGGCGGCAGGCCUAACACAUGCAAGUCGAACGAGUGGCGGACGGGUGAGUAAUGCCUGGGAAACUGCCCGAUGGAGUGGGAUAACUAAUGGAAAAGGUAGCUAAUACCGCAUACCAUCAGAUGUGCCGAGAUGGGAUUAGCUAGUUGGUGGGGUAACGGCUAACCAAGGCGACGAUCCCUAGCUGGUCUGAGAGGAUGACCGGCCCCACUGGAACUGAGACACGGUCCAGACUCCUACGGGAGGCAGCAGUGGGGAAUAUUGCACAAUGGGCGCAAGCCUGAUGCAGCCAUGCCGCGUGUGUGAAGAAGGCCUUCGGGUUGUAAAGUCCUUUCGGCGGGAAAGCGUUACCCGCAGAAGAAGCACCGGCUAACUCCGUGCCAGCAGCCGCGGUAAUUC
rnacentral:rRNA from 1 species